CAGCCGUAAACUAUGCGCGUUAGGUGUAUCGGUGACCACGAGUCACCGAGGUGCCGAAGGGAAACCGUGAAACGUGCCGCCUGGGAAGUACGGUCGCAAGGCUGAAACUUAAAGGAAUUGGCGGGGGAGCACCACAAGGGGUGAAGCUUGCGGUUUAAUUGGAGUCAACGCCGGAAAUCUCACCGGGAGCGACAGCAGUGUGAAGGCCAGAUUAAAGGUCUUGCCAGACGAGCUGAGAGGAGGUGCAUGGCGUAGACGUCU
rnacentral:rRNA from 1 species